rnacentral:rRNA from 1 species
UACAGAGGGUGCGAGCGUUGUCCGGAAUCACUGGGCGUAAAGCGCACGUAGGCGGCUUUUUAAGUCAGGGGUGAAAUCCUGGAGCUCAACUCCAGAACUGCCUUUGAUACUGAGAAGCUUGAGUUCGGGAGAGGUGAGUGGAACUGCGAGUGUAGAGGUGAAAUUCGUAGAUAUUCGCAAGAACACCAGUGGCGAAGGCGGCUCACUGGCCCGGUACUGACGCUGAGGCACGAAAGCGUGGGGAGCAAACAGGG